rnacentral:rRNA from 1 species
CGUAGGGUGCGAGCGUUAAUCGGAAUUACUGGGCGUAAAGCGUGCGCAGGCGGUUUUGUAAGUCAGAUGUGAAAGCCCCGGGCUCAACCUGGGAACUGCGUUUGAAACUACAAGGCUAGAGUAUGGCAGAGGGGGGUAGAAUUCCACGUGUAGCAGUGAAAUGCGUAGAGAUGUGGAGGAAUACCAAUGGCGAAGGCAGCCCCCUGGGUCAAUACUGACGCUCAUGCACGAAAGCGUGGGGAGCAAACAGGAUUAGAUACCCUGGUAGUCCACGCCCUAAACGAUGUCUACUAGUUGUUGGGAGAGUAAAAUCUCUUAGUAACGCAGCUAACGCGUGAAGUAGACCGCCUGGGGAGUACGGUCGCAAGAUUA